GAUCAACGCUGGCGGCGUGCCUCAGACAUGCAAGUCGAACGAGAAAGUUCCCUUCGGGGAGCGAGUAAAGUGGCGCACGGGUGAGUAACACGUAGGUAAUCUACCUUCGGGUGGGGAAUAACCCAGGGAAACUUGGGCUAACACCGCAUAAUGCAGCGGCACCACAUGGUGACAGUUGUUAAAGCGGGGGAUUUUAGGACCUCGCGCCUGAAGAGGAGCCUGCGGCGGAUUAGCUUGUUGGAAGGUAACGGCUUACCAAGGCGACGAUCCGUAGCCGGCCUGAGAGGGCGGUCGGCCACACUGACACUGACAUACGGGUCAGACUCCUACGGGAGGCAGCAGUCGGGAAUUUUGGGCAAUGGGCGAAAGCCUGACCCAGCAACGCCGCGUGAAGGA
rnacentral:rRNA from 1 species